UACGUAGGCAGCAAGCGUUGUUCGGAAUUACUGGGCGUAAAGAGUGUGUAGGCGGUGCUCUAAGUCUGUUGUGAAAUCUCCCGGCUUAACUGGGAGGGUGCGGCGGAGACUGGAGUGCUAGAGUGUGGGAGAGGUAAGCGGAAUUCCUGGUGUAGCGGUGAAAUGCGUAGAUAUCAGGAGGAACACCUGUGGUGUAGACAGCUUACUGGACCACGACUGACGCUGAGACACGAAAGCGUGGGGAGCGAACAGG
rnacentral:rRNA from 1 species